UGGUGCCAGCAGCCGCGGUAAUUCCAGCUCCAAUAGCGUAUAUUAAAGUUGUUGCAGUUAAAAAGCUCGUAGUUGGAUGUCUGCUGGAAGCAAUCAGUCCGCCCUAUUUGUAGGGUGUGCACUUGAUGAAUUCUGGCAUUUUUGUCCCAAUGAUGUAACGGGGCGGUGGUAUUCGGUGAAAGCCGAGUAUCCUGUUUUCCGAUUAUUGGGAUACUGUUACUUUGAGAAAAUUAGAGUGUUUGAAGCAGGCUAAUUGCCUUGAAUACUGCAGCAUGGAAUAACAAUAUAGGAUUCGGUUCUAUUUUGUUGGUUUCUAGGACUGAAAUAAUGAUUAAUAGGACAG
rnacentral:rRNA from 1 species